rnacentral:rRNA from 1 species
CAAAAGCAUAUAUUAACAUUGUUGCGGUUAAAAGGCUCGUAGUCUAACUUAUGAUUCCCCAUUUGUGGCCCAGAGUCAAGUACUCUGAGUGCAAGCAGAUGGUAAUCAUCCUUUUGGAUAGCACUUCUGCCCUUGAUUGGGUUGGUUGUGAGAUACAAAUCUUUUACUGUGAGUAAAUCAGAGCGUUCAAAGCAGGCUAAACGCCGUGAAUGCUGUAGCAUGGAAUAAUACUAUAAGACUUCGGUUUUCCAUUGGCUGAAACCUAAAGUAAUGAUUGAUAGAGAUAGUUGGGGGUGCUAGUACUUAGCGGUCAGCGGUGAAAUGCAUAGUUAAAGACUAUCUAAUGCGAAAGCAUUCACCAAGGAUAUCUUCUUUGA